GGCGUGGUUUGAAUGGGGCGCUCUGGAAAAUUCGAUGGAUUAACUAGUUUUAAAAGGAAACGUCUUGAAAUAAAGGAUCCAGGGACCAAUGCCAGGAUCAUGUAUUGUUGUCCAGAAUGUCUACAGGACUUGCUAUAUGUGCGACAUAGGUGAGUCCUUUCUGGCCAAGAGGGAUGAAGCAUGGAUCAUCAUCACACACCACCAUGGCUGCAGCCUACUGUCAUUGUCAACGUCCCAGGUUAUCACAGUAGACCAAAGGUGACAUGGCGUGGGCAGUCCAAAUGAUAGGGAUGGAUGGCGAAGGCUGUUUCCCAUACAGCAACUACAACAGCAGCCAUCCAGACCAGGGCACGUACCUUCCCUGAGAGGGAGAUUAGGGUUUAGGAAGUGGAGCAGGCCUUUGAGAUGACAUGGCUAAAAUGAACCCCGUGCCUAGUGAAUGCGUGGUAUAAAUAGCUGACAGGAAGAUCUCCAGGUUGCAUGCAUCAUUAGUGACUGCACGUCACUAUAAACACUGUCAACAAACAUUGCCCGGCCAUUGUAAACAUGACACAGAUUGGGAUUUUUCUUGAUAUGAUGACUAGUAGUGGUGUACUAGUCAACUAUGUCAUGCUUACUGGGCUUUCGAUGUACACAAAGAUUUACAGUAAAGGCAACAAUAUGAAGCAUAUUUGAUAGGAUUAGUCUUAUUGAUAUUUUUGAAACAGUAUUUAUGUCUACUGAAGUGUUGAUCUUGGUAUAGUAUCUUUUAGCACAUGUAUCAGGGGCGGAUCCUGGCUUUAACCCAGUCCACUGGUAAACCCUCACACCAUGAGCCUACUGCUUCUGUUCCACAUGUCUUAUGUUGUGCUGGGUUGUUUAGUCUGGGGAUCUACUGACUGAGAGGAGACCAGAUCGCCACCUCUCUCGUCAAUACUCCUGCAUGUACCAUGUCUCCUCAGAGAACACACGCUUUAAUCAGACAGAUCCCUUACAUCUCCUUGCUGCUGGCAGAGAGAGAAGCAGUGCGGAGAUAAACGCGGAUUAUUUUACCGAUAAGACUCCUUCCCUUCCCACCAUGGUAAGAUGAACCCAAGGAGUGAAUGCUGAUGUGAACGCUUUCCCUCUCUUUCUCUCUAUCUGAACCUGAAAUGGGUCAAUGCAACAUACUGUCCUUACAAUAUGUAAUUGACUGUAUCGUUAAACUGUUCCUAAAGCUGUU